rnacentral:tRNA from 1 species
UGGCAGAAUAGUGCCAUGGAUUUAAAUCCCAUUUAUAAAGUUUAACUUU